GUUUAACCUCCCCUCUUAAUGUAGAUGUCUGUAUUUAGGUGUGCAUUUCCCCUGGACCCUUCACAUAUCAUAAGAGCUGUAAUAAAGAAUAUGGUUUGUAAGAAAGGCUUCAAUUGAAAAAGGGGUUUAGGGAUCUAAUGACUAGGCAACUUUUUUAUGGCAUCUUUUACAACUGCAGAGUUUCUCUCCAUUUCACAGAGCCAUCAAUG